AACGCGCAUAUGGACUGUAACGUUAGUGUAUUUGUAUGUGUGCUUGUGGAACAGAGGAUGCGGCGAAUUAUUAAAAUUCAAAGUGCUUUUCCGUCUCAUUAAAGAUAUAUAGGCAGUUAAAUAAAACCUUCCUGUGCUCUUUCUAGGCUAUUCAAGUCCCAGUAAAAUUAGCGUUAGCUAAAGCACGAAAUCAAGUACAAAUAAUGCCACAUUCGACUUCUGCAUACUUUUAACAUUUUAUCUGCUAUUCGUUUUUAUAACAGCAUACAUUUGAUCACGGAUUUCUUCAUCGCUGCCUGAUUUUGGCGAAAUGAAGGAAUGGCACAACUUUACUGACGGAGAAAAAAGUUUUGGCUAAGAGGAAUGCACGCAGUUGUAAAUGUGAACUGGUGGAUGGUUAAGAAGCUGAUGUGUCUUCUAGAAAUCUAAACAAAUUUGUGCAGAAUAACCAUAGGUCCAUUAGUGUCAACUGUCUUUGCCAGUGGGUGGAUCCACACUGCAAAACUUAUGAAGAUGAUUGCAAACCGAAGAAGAGUCCUUGGACAAAGCAUUAAACCCUCUUGGUCCCCACUACACAGACUAAUGACGUUGAAGUACCCAAAUGAAGACACUAGCAGUGUUAUUAUGGAGUAUAUGGAUACAGACGUUGGCAGCACUCAGGAGGUGAUCCAGAGGAAUCAUGGGAAUCUAUGUCAUACGAUUUGAAGGUGCAGACAUUGAAGACAGCACAGCAGAUGUUGGAGUGUUGGAAGAUAAAGUUCUUCAGGACCUUAGCAGUAAACCCUAUGAAAAACAUGUU